GUCCAGACUCCUACGGGAGGCAGCAGUGGGGGAUAUUGCACAAUGGGGGGAACCCUGAUGCAGCGACGCCGCGUGGGUGAAGGAGUAUUUCGGUAUGUAAAGCCCUAUCAGCAGGGAAGAACAAUGACGGUACCUGACUAAGAAGCACCGGCUAAAUACGUGCCAGCAGCCGCGGUAAUACGUAGGGGGCAAGCGUUAUCCGGAUUUACUGGGUGUAAAGGGAGCGUAGACGGCAGUGCAAGUCUGGAGUGAAAGGCGGGGGCUCAACCCCCGGACUGCUCUGGAAACUGUACGGCUGGAGUGCAGGAGAGGUAAGUGGAAUUCCUAGUGUAGCGGUGAAAUGCGUAGAUAUUAGGAGGAACACCAGUGGCGAAGGCGGCCUGCUGGACGAUGACUGACGUUGAGGCUCGAAAGCGUGGGGAGCAAACAGGAUUAGAUACCCGAGUAG
rnacentral:rRNA from 1 species